rnacentral:rRNA from 1 species
AAACGUCUCAGUUCGGAUUGUAGUCUGCAACUCGACUACAUGAAGCUGGAAUCGCUAGUAAUCGCAGAUCAGAAUGCUGCGGUGAAUACGUUCCCGGGUCUUGUACACACCGCCCGUCACACCAUGGGAGUCGGAAAUGCCCGAAGCCGGUGACCCAACCAAAAGGAGGGAGCCGUCGAAGGCAGGUCUGAUAACUGGGGUGAAGUCGUAACAAGGUACC